ACGGGUGAGUAAUACAUCGGAACGUGCCCAAUCGUGGGGGAUAACGCAGCGAAAGCUGUGCUAAUACCGCAUACGAUCUACGGAUGAAAGCAGGGGAUCGCAAGACCUUGCGCGAAUGGAGCGGCCGAUGGCAGAUUAGGUAGUUGGUGAGGUAAAGGCUCACCAAGCCUUCGAUCUGUAGCUGGUCUGAGAGGACGACCAGCCACACUGGGACUGAGACACGGCCCAGACUCCUACGGGAGGCAGCAGUGGGGAAUUUUGGACAAUGGGCGAAAGCCUGAUCCAGCCAUGCCGCGUGCAGGAUGAAGGCCUUCGGGUUGUAAACUGCUUUUGUACGGAACGAAACGGUCUUUUCUAAUAAAGAAGGCUAAUGACGGUACCGUAAGAAUAAGCACCGGCUAACUACGUGCCAGCAGCCGCGGUAAUACGUAGGGUGCAAGCGUUAAUCGGAAUUACUGGGCGUAAAGCGUGCGCAGGCGGUGAUGUAAGACAGUUGUGAAAUCCCCGGGCUCAACCUGGGAACUGCAUCUGUGACUGCAUCGCUGGAGUACGGCAGAGGGGGAUGGGAAUUCCGCGUGUAGCAGU
rnacentral:rRNA from 1 species